GACGAACGCUGGCGGUGUGCUUAACACAUGCAAGUCGAACGGUAAGGCCCUUUCGGGGGUACACGAGUGGCGAACGGGUGAGUAACACGUGAGUAACCUGCCCUCAUCUCUGGGAUAACAGUCGGAAACGGUUGCUAAUACUGGAUAUGAGCUUGCAAGGCAUCUUGUGGGUUGGAAAGAUUUUUUUGGUUGGGGAUGGACUCGCGGCCUAUCAGCUUGUUGGUGAGGUAGUGGCUCACCAAGGCUUCGACGGGUAGCCGGCCUGAGAGGGCGACCGGCCACAUUGGGACUGGGAUACGGCCCAAACUCCUACGGGAGGCAGCAGUGGGGAAUACUGCAUAAUGGACGGAAGUCUGAUGCAGCAACGCCGCGUGCGGGAUGACGGCCUUCGGGUUGUAAACCGCUUUCAAUUGUGACGAAGCUUUUUUGUGACGGUAGCAGUAGAAGAAGCACCGGCUAACUACGUG
rnacentral:rRNA from 1 species